rnacentral:other from 2 species
GGCUCCUGGCUAGGCCAGGAGCCUCACCAGUCAGAGACCCUGGACCCCCUGGCCAAGCUCACCGCGGGUGAAGAAAAAAAUCCACCCCUGCUCAGCCUGGAGCGAGAAGGUGACCAAGGAGGAAAUGGUGGC